GACAGAGGUGCCAAGCGUUAGGCGGAAUCCCUGGGCUUAAAGCGUGUGUAGGCGGAUGCCUAAGUACCUUGUGAAAUCCCACGGCUCAACCGUGGAACUGCUUGGUAUACUGGGUGUCUUGAGCCAUCUAGGGGCUACCGGAACAAAUGGUGGAGCGGUGAAAUGCGUAGAUAUCAUUUGGAACGCCAAUGGUGAAAACAGGUAGCUGGGGAUGUGCUGACGCUGAGACACGAAAGCCAGGGGAGCAAACGGG
rnacentral:rRNA from 1 species